rnacentral:rRNA from 3 species
UAUGACCUGGGCUACACACGUGCUACAAUGGGAAGUACAACGAGUCGCGAAGUCGCGAGGCUAAGCUAAUCUCUUAAAGCUUCUCUCAGUUCGGAUUGCAGGCUGCAACUCGCCUGCAUGAAGCCGGAAUCGCUAGUAAUCGCGGAUCAGCACGCCGCGGUGAAUACGUUCCCGGGCCUUGUACACACCGCCCGUCACACCACGAGAGUUUGUAACACCCGAAGUCGGUGAGGUAACCUUUUGGAGCCAGCCGCCUAAGGUGGGAUAGAUGAUUGGGGUGAAGUCGUAACAAGGUAGCCGUAUCGGAAGGUGCGGCUGGAUCACCUCCUUU